rnacentral:rRNA from 1 species
AGAGUUUGAUCCUGGCUCAGAUUGAACGCUGGCGGCAGGCCUAACACAUGCAAGUCGAGCGGUAGAGAGAGGAGCUUGCUUCUCUUGAGAGCGGCGGACGGGUGAGUAAUGCCUAGGAAUCUGCCUAGUGGUGGGGGAUAACGUUCGGAAACGGACGCUAAUACCGCAUACGUCCUACGGGAGAAAGCGGGGGAUCUUCGGACCUCGCGCCAUUAGAUGAGCCUAGGUCGGAUUAGCUAGUUGGUGAGGUAAUGGCUCACCAAGGCGACGAUCCGUAACUGGUCUGAGAGGAUGAUCAGUCACACUGGAACUGAGACACGGUCCAGACUCCUACGGGAGGCAGCAGUGGGGAAUAUUGGACAAUGGGCGAAAGCCUGAUCCAGCCAUGCCGCGUGUGUGAAGAAGGUCUUCGGAUUGUAAAGCACUUUAAGUUGGGAGGAAGGGUAGUAACCUAAUACGUUGCUGCUUUGACGUUACCGACAGAAUAAGCACCGGCUAACUUCGUGCCAGCAGCCGCGGUAAUACGAAGGGUGCAAGCGUUAAUCGGAAUUACUGGGCGUAAAGCGCGCGUAGGUGGUUCAGCAAGUUGGAUGUGAAAGCCCUGGGCUCAACCUGGGAACUGCAUCCAAAACUACUGAGCUAGAGUACGGUAGAGGGUAGUGGAAUUUCCUGUGUAGCGGUGAAAUGCGUAGAUAUAGGAAGGAACACCAGUGGCGAAGGCGACCACCUGGACUGAUACUGACACUGAGGUGCGAAAGCGUGGGGAGCAAACAGGAUUAGAUACCCUGGUAGUCCACGCCGUAAACGAUGUCGACUAGCCGUUGGGAUCCUUGAGAUCUUAGUGGCGCAGCUAACGCAUUAAGUCGACCGCCUGGGGAGUACGGCCGCAAGGUUAAAACUCAAAGGAAUUGACGG